rnacentral:rRNA from 1 species
GAUGAACGCUGGCGGCGUGCCUAAUACAUGCAAGUCGAGCGAACAGACGAGUAUCUUGCUCCUCUGACGUUAGCGGCGGACGGGUGAGUAACACGUGGAUAACCUACCUAUAAGACUGGGAUAACUUCGGGAAACCGGAGCUAAUACCGGAUAAUAUAUUGAACCGCAUGGUUCAAUAGUGAAAGACGGUUUUGCUGUCACUUAUAGAUGGAUCCGCGCCGCAUUAGCUAGUUGGUAAGGUAACGGCUUACCAAGGCAACGAUGCGUAGCCGACCUGAGAGGGUGAUAGGCCACACUGGAACUGAGACACGGUCCAGACUCCUACGGGAGGCAGCAGUAGGGAAUCUUACGCAAUGGGCGAAAGCCUGACGGAGCAACGCCGCGUGAGUGAUGAAGGUCUUCGGAUCGUAAAACUCUGUUAUUAGGGAAGAACAAAUGUGUAAGUAACUAUGCACGUCUUGACGGUACCUAAUCAGAAAGCAACGGCUAACUACGUG